GAUGAACGCUGGCGGCGUGCCUAAUACAUGCAAGUCGAGCGAACAGACGAGGAGCUUGCUCCUCUGACGUUAGCGGCGGACGGGUGAGUAACACGUGGAUAACCUACCUAUAAGACUGGGAUAACUUCGGGAAACCGGAGCUAAUACCGGAUAAUAUAUUGAACCGCAUGGUUCAAUAGUGAAAGACGGUUUUGCUGUCACUUAUAGAUGGAUCCGCGCCGCAUUAGCUAGUUGGUAAGGUAACGGCUUACCAAGGCAACGAUGCGUAGCCGACCUGAGAGGGGGUCCGGCCAAACUGGACCUGAGCCACGUCCCAGAUCCCAACGGAGGCAAGCGUAAGGGAAUCUUCCGCAUGGGCGGAAGCCCUACCGGAGCAACGCGGGUGGGUUAAUAAGGUUCUCCGAUUCGAAAAACUCUUUAAUAGGGAAAAAACAAUGUGUAAGUAACUAUGCACGUCUUGACGGUACCUAAUCAGAAAGCCACGGCUAACUACGUG
rnacentral:rRNA from 1 species